rnacentral:rRNA from 1 species
AUUGAACGCUGGCGGCAUGCCUUACACAUGCAAGUCGAACGGCAGCACGGGUGCUUGCACCUGGUGGCGAGUGGCGAACGGGUGAGUAAUACAUCGGAACAUGUCCUGUAGUGGGGGAUAGCCCGGCGAAAGCCGGAUUAAUACCGCAUACGAUCUACGGAUGAAAGCGGGGGACCUUCGGGCCUCGCGCUAUAGGGUUGGCCGAUGGCUGAUUAGCUAGUUUGUGGGGUAAAGGCCUACCAAGGCGACGAUCAGUAGCUGGUCCGAGAGGACGAACAGCCCCACGGGGGACUGGCACCCGGCCCAACCCCCUCGGGGAGGCAGCGGGGGGAAUUUUUGGCAAGGGGGGAAAACCUUGACCCACAAAGGCCGGGUGUGUAAAAAAGGCCUUCGGGUUGAAAACCCUUUUUUUCGGGAAAAAAAUCUUUGGCCCAAAACCGGUCGGGGGUUGCCGGAACCGAAAAAAAAACCCCCGGCAACUUCCGG